AAACAAAGGAACUCAAUAAAUAAGAAAAUGAAGCUCAACCUGACCAGCAGCAACAUCAACAAUGGCAUGAGCUCUUACACCAGCAACAACCUUUCUAACUAAAGCUUUGGAAUUCUUAUUCAUAUGCAGAAAAUCCUCAAAUACAAUCCUUGCAAAUACACAUUGGACUAACAAAUACCAAACAUGUCAACAUAACAAAUUAGACAAAUAUUUAGAUUGUGGCAAUAAUUAAAGUAAGGGACACCAAUUAAAGUAAACAUUGAAUCAAAGGAAUUAGAAAAACAAUUAUCAUAGCAAAAUAUAUAAACAAUAAUUUAGAAAAUUAAAAAACAUACCUGCUUCAUUUGGAUACUUCUCCAGCCGUGAAAAUUGCAGAAACCCCAUGUAUUUACAUACCUUAAUGAAAGGGCACAUUUAAUUAGUCAUGAAAUUCAAAGCCAAAAAAAAAAACGUAAUAAAAAAUCAUGAAAUCCAAGGCAAGAACAAAAAUAGAAAAUUACGGAGCUCCCCCAAAUUCAUCAAACUAAAGCUAAUACUGUUAAAUGACAUACCUUUUUUCUCAGAUUCGUCAGCAGCAAUCUCUGAUUGCACAUGAAGAAGAAGAAGAAGAAAACAAAAACAAAAAAAAAAACACGAUGUGAGGAAUGAAGAAGCAUCAUCAACGUAAAUUGAAGAAAAAAAAAUAGAAUAGAUCUGGAAUUCAAAAAUAAAUAUGAAUCUGUAAAUCAAAAAACGAAAAAUGGAUCUGAAGUGCAUACCUUCGUUGCAGUCGUGUUCUCUGCUUCAUCAUUCGUUCUCUGAGUUUGUCAAAAGAGAGGGAGAAAUGAAAGAAUCGAAAAAAGAGAGGAAGCUAAAUGAGAGAGGUUUUUGAAUUUCAAAUGAAAGAAUUCCCGGUUUGAUAGUCUUACUUGUGAAUUGUGAAAGUGACCUGACCUAAGAAAGAUACAAAACUCUGCAAUGAAAGGGAUGACUCACGCAAUAAGUGAAACUGUGAGAAGAAGAUGUUGCAUGAUAAGUGAUUGA
rnacentral:lncRNA from 1 species